rnacentral:rRNA from 1 species
CACGUAGGGGGCGAGCGUUGUCCGGAUUUAUUGGGCGUAAAGAGCUCGUAGGCGGCUCGGUAAGUCAGGUGUGAAAACUCUAGGCUCAACCUAGAGACGCCACCUGAUACUGCCGUGGCUAGAGUCCGGUAGGGGAGCAUGGAAUUCCUGGUGUAGCGGUGAAAUGCGCAGAUAUCGGGAAGAACACCUAUGGCGAAGGCAGCUCUCUGGGACGGUACUGACGCUGAGACGCGAAAGCGUGGGGAGCGAACAGG